AAGUCGUAACAAGGUUUCCGUAGGUGAACCUGCGGAAGGAUCAUUAACACGUAUCCAACGUUAAACAACUCUGUGAACCUUCACCCCCUGCUCUCCUUGGCUCGAAAAAGCAAUCUCUGGUAAAUCACGCAAACAGUUUGAUUCAGAGACCUCUCUUUCGAGUACUUGGAUUUGAUGCGGUCGAAGCAAUUAGACUUGGGGUAGUCAGUGGGUGAAAGUGCCACUGGUUACUUAAGCGGAGUACUGCACCCGGACUAACCGGGGUGGGAUCAUCGAGUCACGACCGAUGCCAAUAUUCACCCCGACUUUAAUCUUGAGUGAGCAGUCGCUUCGGCGCCGCCACUGUCGUGAAAGCUGAACAACUGUUAACAAUGGAUAUCUUGGUUCUC
rnacentral:misc_RNA from 1 species